CAGAAAUUGAAUUUAAAUGAAAAUAUGUUUUUAAAAUGCCAUGCAUGCAUAUUGUGAAUUAUAUGAAUUAGUAAUUGAUGCAUAUAUAUGUGAAAUGGUGCUGUGGACGCACAUGUGAGUAUCAGGUGAGUUUUAUGUUAUUCAUAUGGUUUAUUGAUGAUGUGAAUUGCGUUGAGAGCUCAUAACCUGCACCCUUGGUGUUAGUGCUUAUAUUAUUCACCCGCACCGCACGUUCACCUUAGAUCCAAGUAGGUGCAUGUCGUACAAACCAUGAGAGGGUUCUGACAUGCUAGUCGUACAGAUCACUAGAGGUGGUUCCAACUGGUAGGUGAGCUUAGAUUAUGUGCACAAAUGAUUGAUGAGAGAAGCACUAUAGCGUAUUCUUACACCAUUCUUGUCGUACAUACUACUUCAGGUAGUUCCGACUUA
rnacentral:lncRNA from 1 species